UACGUAGGGUGCGAGCGUUAAUCGGAAUUACUGGGCGUAAAGCGUGCGCAGGCGGUUCGUUAAGUCAGAUGUGAAAGCCCCGGGCUCAACCUGGGAACUGCAUUUGAAACCGGCGGGCUUGAGUGUGGCAGAGGGGGGUGGAAUUCCGCGUGUAGCAGUGAAAUGCGUAGAGAUGCGGAGGAACACCGAUGGCGAAGGCAGCCCCCUGGGCCAACACUGACGCUCAGGCACGAAAGCGUGGGGAGCAAACAGG
rnacentral:rRNA from 1 species